rnacentral:tRNA from 1 species
UCCUUUGUGUCUCAGCUGGUAAAGAAUCCACCUGCAAUGUAGGAGACCUGGGUUUGAUCCCUGCUUGGGAA